CCCUUAGAUGUUCGGGGCCGCACGCGCGCUACACUGAAGGAAUCAGCACGUCUUUCUCCUUGUCCGAAAGGACUGGGUAACCCGCUGAACCUCCUUCGUGCUAGGGAUUGGGGCUUGUAAUUCUUCCCCAUGAACGAGGAAUUCCCAGUAAGCGCGAGUCAUAAGCUCGCGUUGAUUACGUCCCUGCCCUUUGUACACACCGCCCGUCGCUACUACCGAUUGGAUGGUUUAGUGAGAUCCUCGGAUUGGUCCCGGCGCGGCCUCUGGUCGUGCCGGAGUGCCGAAAAGAAUGUCGAACUUGAUCAUCUAGAGGAAGUAAAAGUCGUAACAA
rnacentral:rRNA from 1 species